CAGGAGCCUUCCCUCUGCGUUAUGGGGCCAUGCUUAAAGACAUCAUCUGGUAGUUCUUCCUCCACAGGUGUAUCCAGAUCCAAGGCUUAUUGGCUCAAGCAGUCAAUGCAGCAGUUUAUCAAGCGUUACCUAAAUCAAAACAGUGACGAGAUGACCGGACUGAUGUUUUGGUUUUCUUACAUUUCUCAGUUGUGAAACCCAAACUCUUCUCAUGGCAACACAAGAACUUAAGUUGGCUCGCUACAGCAGCUGGAGAUGAAUAUAAAGAGAAGAACCCUGCUUAUGUGCUGUUCACAGCCAAUGUGAGACCUGCUUCAAGCAGACGUUUAUCUGCACAUGCUGUCUGCAUUAUGGCACACAUGUGGUCUUUUGUAUACAUGCUUCCACACAAAUGCAACUAUAACACUGCUAUUUUUAAGCGUCGCAAUAAAUUGUAAAGCAUUGUCAUAAAGUCAUUUCCAAACCAGGGAGGUCCAUUAAACUGCACAGUAGCUUAUAGCUAUUUUUUUUUUCAAAUCAAAGGAAAUAAAGAAGUGACUUAAACAAUAGUAUUACUCUAAGCUAAUUUAACUUAUACAAUUAUGAUUUUGCUGUGCUUUAAAACUACAGCACACUAAUUAAUGAUGUUCUACUGGCUUGUUUUGAUUAUAACUAACUUAUUGACCCUAAUUUAUGACUGCAUUUGGUAAGCAAUUACCAAUAUGUAAUUAUUAAUAUUACAAAAUAAAAACUAUUUAGACAUGCUGUUAAACAAUGUACUGGCAUAUAUACAGUGAUAACAUUACAAGGCAAUAUUUCUGACUGUAAAGAAACUCUGUCUCGUAGCUGGAAACAGUACAGCCGCUUUCAUAAUUUUGCUAUUUGAUAACUCUAAUGUGCAGCAGAUGAAGAAAAUUGCAUGGGAAUCCCACAUUUUGUGGAGGAAAAAACAUUUUUAAAAAAAGUAUUAAAAGGAUUUGUGAUUUCAGGAGCAAUUUAUUAAACAAAAUCUGUAGGUCUUGGAACACCUUGUAAAUAUAAUUUAUA